ensembl:lncRNA
AAUGUACUCAAAUACAGCAGCAAAUAAAAAAAUAAACUAGUAUGAGACGCUUGAAUACAGCAUUGACUCAAUGGAAAAACAGGUUAAAAAAAACAACUUGAAUCCAGCUGUGCUACAUUAACCAUAUUAUAGACCUGCUUGACAAGUUGUAUCAUGCCCACAAAUUGACAUUGGGCAGUGGGGGAGACAAAACUGACCAAAAAAAUAAAGUUCAAUGCCACUUGCUGAGUAGCCUUUCCAGUGCUGCCUCUAGCCUUUUAGAACCCCCCCUCCUCCUCCAGUUUGGAACUCUGUAGUGAGUGUUGCAACAGGGGACAGACAAUCUUUGUGCUCUACAGCACUCGGCGGUCCCGUUCUGUGAGCUUGUGUGGCCUACCACUUCGCAGCCGAGCUGUUGUUUCUCCAAGACGUUUCCACUUCACAAUAACAAUUGACCGAGUAGCUCUAGACAAACUGACUUGUUGGAGAAUGUGGAACCCUAUGACAGUGCCCCGUUGAAAGUAACUGAGCUCUUCAGUAAGGCCAUUCUACUGCGAAUGUUUGUCUAUGGAGAUUGAAUGGCUGUGUGCUCGAUUUUAAACACCUGUCAGCAACAGGUGUGGCUGAAAUAGACAAAUCCACAUAUACUUGUGUGUGUGUGUAUAUAUAUAUAUAUAUAUAUAUGAGUGUCUGUGAAAGAGUGACAAAAUUACAAAACCAAUGGAGGCCCCCCUGGAGGUCAGGGCCCUGGCUCAACUACCUUACCUAGCAAUCUUAAAAUGUUUUGCUGACAUGGUCUCAUUGAGCGACUGUCAUAAGUGGGAAACUACUGAUACACAACAAAAUGUCAAAAUUGCACCUGGUGUAUUCUACUUUUCAAAAGUGAGUUGAGACCCAACAGUUCCUUGAAAAAGAAAAGGGCAGCGCGUAGUCUGCCUAUAGGAAGAGGCGAAUCCAAGUCUGUCGUACCUGCUGCACAUAAACAUUUUGGGGGAAUAAUCUUCAAAUUAACACUAAUAAUUCAACAAAUGGAAUCAGAUCUACUCAGUUAAGCCAAUGUAAAGGUGUGUGAACCAAAGUCAAAGUAUAACACUGGCCAAAGCUGUUGUUACACUGAAAUAAACCCAACUUCAUGAGGGAAGCACACAUGGCAAAUAUAAAAAGCAUUUAAACAUAAAACUGUUUAUUUUAACAAGUGUUGUGUUUCUGAACAUCAUUUUAAACAACUUAUUCAGCUCUGCUUCCCUCAGCUGGUCGAACUGAAAACUAAUACAGCGCCUCCUUCUAGACAGUUCUGGAAAGGUCAAUGUUGAACCCCUAAUUGAUCCCCCUUAUUGUGUAAAAUAAACCUUAAUGUUAAUAUAACCAUAGAUUUUUUUUUGCAUUAACCAAAAUAUUUGUUGUUGAAAAAUAGAUAUUUCACAAACUGAGUUCAUAUUAUAAAAUUUAGCCAGUGUUCAACGUGUUGUCUAUUUAUCCAUCUCAGCUCCAUCUUGAUUCGACGGUAGAAGACAAACAACUUAAAACAAACAAGUCUUGUAUAAAUCUGAAUUGGUAACAGAAUUGAACCGGUGAGUUGAAUCGUUGCCAGUUGUCAAUGAGAUUUCAUGACAUCAUACAGGGGAAGUACCUAAAAUCAGCACUUAUACAAUGGAUGGGAUACUGUUGGUUUAAGACAGCUAUAAAAACAAUAGAACCUAGAGUGUAUAAAACACACAAAACACCUGUCCAUUUAAAACAACAGUGUCUAAAGUGCCACAAAUAACUAUCCUGGUGGAUUUAUGUAUGGUGUGUGGUAAUUAGACCCAGGGAGGUCCUGGUCCUGCCCAGGGACUCCGGGCAGGGCUGUGGCCCAAGUAGGCUCCUCUGUAGUGGGGAGGGCUGGGAGGUAAGGCUGGGCUGUGCCGGGGGGACAGAAAGCCUUCAUGUCCUGGAAAGAAGGGCUGAGGGUGGCAGGGUCUAGACACCAUAACAAAUGGGGGGCUGGGGAGCCUUCUGUACUCCUGUGACUGCACGCCCCUCAUCUUCAUGGGGAAGGGACCAGAGUGGGGAUUGGGUCCAAACCCCUGGGGCAUUGUAUUGUGGGGGUACGGGAGGACCUGGGGUGUAAACUCGUCAGGGUUAGAGUGAACGAAGUGCGGGCCAGGGGUGGUUCUAAACCAAUCAGAAACCACUUGGUGGGGGUCACAGUUUAUUCUGUGGCCCUCUGGGAAUGGCAGGUAGGAGCCAGGGUCAGUCUCAUACUCCUGCGGACCUGAUCUAUAGGUGUCAGGGGUCAGCUGUGUGCCUCCAUAGGCCCAUGCUUCUCUGUACUCAGCCUCACAUAACUGCACCUGCUGCAUAGCUGCUAUGUCACCCAUACGACUGCUCAUCUCUUCUCGGUGAAGGGCUGGCCCUGCCUGAUCUCUAUGAAGGGCUAUGUCAUGUCUGAGAUCUGCUGUGUCAACCAUAUGAAGCCCUACGGCGCCCCUAUGAGUUCCUGUGAACCCCUGCGCCUGGUGCCGUUGUAGAGGCUGGCCUUGCAAAUACUGUUGGUGGUAAAAGUCUGAGUUCUCCUCCCUCUCUCCAUCCUUUCCUUCCUCUCUCUCCCCCUCCUCCACCAUGACCUCCACGAUGAGCCCAACUCCAUUCUGAAUUUCAGCUCUGCAUCGCUCCUCUUCCUCCAUCAACUGACGGUCAGUUAGCUCCUCUCCUGUAGCAUACCAACAGUCAGUUGUCACUUCUGUUGUAAAAGACUGAUUGUCAGUUGAUCGUUCUCCUGUUUGGUACAUUUUGUCAUUUGACCUGCUUCCUGUGGAAAACCCACUGUCUGUUAUCCUCUCUCCAGUAGAGUACAGACUGUCAGUUGUCCUGUCAUCCUCUGCAAGCCUCUGUGCCCCAGAAUGACACUCAUUCCCCCUCUCCUCCUCCUGUUCUUCUUCCAUUAGAGGAGUGUCUGUCAAGCUCUCCUUCAAGAGACAGCCGGUAGUGAAGAGAAUCGGCCCGGCAACAGACGCUGUGUCAGUGAUGUCUCUGGCACAGGCUAGACCGGGGUAAAUACUGCCUUGUCGGUUGUUCUGCCCCACUCGGACAUGGAACUUUGUGUCAGUGAGUCGGUUAUUUUCUGAAUACAGAUGGUCAGUUCGGUCCUGCUCUCUCCUGAGGUAAACCAGGUCAGUUGUGUUUUUCUCUCUGCCAUCGUACAAAGCAUAGUCGGUGAACCUCUGUUCCCCUCCGAGAUACAGACGGUCUUUCUCUGUGUCCUCGUCUCCCAUAGUCAGCUGCUCAUCAGGUAUGGCUGGGCUCAGUCUCAUAGUUGAAGUGUGUGCAUGUCCCGGAGUGCGUCUCAGUCCCGGAGUGUGUGUAUUUUCAUGUGUGUUUCCGAGUCUUGCGGCAACUGAGUUUCCCGGCUGGCCAAGCAAACGUGAGGGAUCGGGAGAGGGUUGGAGUGAGGCAUCUACGGUGGGGGAGUGAAGGGGUGAGGCGUGUCUGAGGGAGGAGGGGGAGGUUUCCAGGCUGAAGGAGUUCCUCUCCAACAGCCAGGGGCCGUCCGUCAUAGAUAGACUGACCUUGAACACCGGCUCACAGCGAAUCAGCUUUGCAGGAACCCCCUGCAGUCCCGCCCCCUUCCCCUCAGGCCCGCCCAGAGACGUCUGACUUCCAGCUGUGACAUUUGGGGUCGGGGAAAGAGAGGGGUCAUGCUGCCAUGAUGAGGCAGGACGCUUCAGUGAAGCACCUUAAGUGAGAGACAAAAGGAGACGAAGAGAGCGAGGGAGAGAGAAAGAGGCAACGAGAGAGAGAAAGACACUCACAAAGAAGAGGAGUGAUAAAUGUUAGUAAAAAGUUAUACAUUUUUCUAUAGGCAAAAUAAAGACAACCCAAUGUGUGUAGCAGGGAAUGAUUCAGGGGACGUAAAUUAUAAAAAAUGAAUUAAAGGGCCAGUGCUGUCAAAAAUGUGACUUUCCUGCAUUUUAUGUACAUUUCCACACUAGGAGUUGGAAUACUACUGUGAAAAUUAUGAUAAUGCCCUUUUAGUGCAAGAGCUGUUUGAAAAGACCGCCUGACAUUUCAGCCUAUUUUGGUGGAAUGUAGUUUUGGCCUGCCUGGUGACAUCACCAUCCGGUAAAUUAGUUAAUAGACCAAUAAGAAAGAGUUCCAAACCAGUCUACCAAUAACAGCUAGUUUUCAUUUUUUCCCCCUCCCCCACUUAGACCACUCCCAGACAGUCCUAGCAAAAUGACUGCUCUUGCUUGAGAAAUUGCUCUUGCCAAGAAGCUAUUUUUGUAUAUUUUUUUCAAUUUUGAUUGAAAAUCACAGGAAGGUACUUAAUUAUUAUUUGACACGGGGAUGAAAACAGCUGCAUUGGGGCUUUAAACUAACUGUCAAAAGGUUAUUUCCAACACAGUGGUACCCAAUGUCUUUAACCACCCAUUAACAAAGUUGGCGCAUCAUCCCAUGAGGUCAUACACUCACCAACCAGUGGCUUGCUUCCAUGGAGAAACUCCUCCUCCAACGAACUAAGCCGUGAUUGGAUAGAGACACUCUGCUGCAACACAGGGGACUUCUCCGAUUGGCUAGAUGAGUUCCGACUCUGGGUGGUCGGACUCCUCCAUAGGACGGUUCGGUUGUCAAGCUGGACAACAGGCCUCUCUGGUUGGACGGAGAGCCUCCGAGGCGAUAUCACAGUUCUCUGUGACUGGAUGGUAAGAUACUCCGACUGGACUGAUUGCUUCACUGAUUGGCUCUGAAGAUCUCUCUGCUCCCUCCCAGUCCUGGUGGCAUGCAAGAGGAUGAGAGCUGGAGGAGAGAGAGAGAGCGAUAGAUCCGGGGGGUGACACAGCGUGAGUGACGCUGACUGGUACAAAGAGAAAAAAAACUGAUGGAUGAAGGAGAAGAGAGAAUAUGGACUGACCAUCACUCUCGCUGUGUGUUGUCAUAUCGUCAUACAUGGCAGCAUCCAACUUCAGCACCUAACAGAAAGACAGGACAGAGGAGAUUUGCACGCACACACAAACAUCACCCCAGCAUGCACAGACACACACAUACCUGUACGUCCCCGGUUCCUUCUCUCUUCUCUAGUAUUUGAGCCAUCUCCAUAAGAGGCCGGGCCAGCUUGGACAGGUCAGGAGGACUCUGCUUCCACUCUGACACAAAGUGAGGGUGAUGGACUUUCUAUACAACGACAGCCACAGGAGAGAGGAAACACACAACUGGUAUACUGGUAUACAUGCAGCUGUAUUAGGCUAGUUGUAGGUCAGUGAUUGUGUAGAGCAGUGUGUUGCAUUCCCCAACGGGGUGCGCAUUUUUGUUUUUGUCCUAGCACUAAAACACCAGAUUUAAAAAAAUUAAUCAUCAAGCCUUUGAUAAGAACGUGGUGUGUUAAUGCUAGGGCACAAAAAAAAAAUGCACCCCUUUGUGUCCCUGGGACAAGGAUUGAGAAACCCUGGUGUAAGGAGGUGUGGUUUAACCGUACAGGUAUUACAAUAAGACAUCAGAAUCAUUAAGUAGCUUGUGAGUAAAGAGCACAGAUCCAGAAACACACAUCCCACACUCACAAUGUAGUUGUAUCGGUGGAGACUCCCCAUGAUGUGGCUCCUGACAUCAGCCUUACUGAGACGACACACACACACCUCACACAGGUACACCGCCUCAGAGUCCAAGCCGAGUGUCACACACUCUGUCACACAGCCCAGACCUAAAAACACACACACAGGUCUAAAGUACACACAUUGGUCUAAAACACAGACGUAUCAUUUACAAAAACACAGAGUUGUUCCUGACCGAUUAUGGGCUGCAGUCUGUUCUUGUUGUUCAGAUACACCCUAAGGGAGUUGGACAGCAGGCUCUGGCCACACACAGCUACAUGAGGAUGAGAGAAUGAAUGAAUGACAAUGAAAGGAAGAAAGAGAGGAUGCUGAAUGGAUGAAUGAGGAUGAAUAAAGAGCUGAUAACCCAUUGCCUACCAUUGUGUGCUCCUCCAGGCUGCAUAGUGGCAGACCUCAGGUGUCAAACACCCUAACAACUGAGAAAGAGUGAGAGAAAAAAAUGCGACAGAGUAGAUGGAGAAACAGAGAGAGGGAGGCAGGGGGGGAACACUGUGUGCAAACACCACAAGGUGGCUCAACAACACCAGUCACUGCAAAUACGGGGCUGCAAGGGACAGAAGCAGAUAUCAGCUAUGUUUUUUUAAUAAUAUCGAGAUAAUGCAUUAUCUAGCUGCUAUACCACACUCUACAUCUGUCAGUUUGAGUCUUGACUCAAAUGGGUGCUGUAAAGUCAAUCUCAUUUUGCCGUGCUCGAUUGACAAUUGGCAUUGAUCCCAAUCAAUUCCAUAAAAUAGACUCCUGCUCACGUUUAACGGUGCAAUGUUUCACAAUAUCAUAUUUCACACAGUUUGACCAUACAAAUAUAUUGCCAAAUCCAUUCUUACCAACACAAGACUUGAAAAUGAAGCCGACUAUCAGUCUCACCAUUCGUCUUUGUUGAUGAUGCACGAGCAUGUGAAAGGUGAUGUAGCUGAUUGACUGGCGUCACCAAGGUGUGCUGAUAAAAAGUCAAAUAUAACUCAACUACAGGACUCGAUCUAUAUUUGCGAGAUAGAAGAACAUACAAAUCCUUAAUGUAGAUAUAAUAAUUAAUCUCGGCAAGAACAGAGCGCAAUGUGCUAAAAUUGAAGAAUAGGUCAGUAACAACUUGAAUGUGGUCACUGGCCUGUCUGGCUAACGUGUCAGCAAUAUUUUCUUCCAAAUGGUUUAGCAAAACGAAAGUGGCUAGCCAAUAGCCAAGAAACAAAACUGGAGUGUCAGGAUAACAACAUUCGACAAGCUACCAAAUCAAGGCUCGUAUGAAAACUGAAGUAUAAAUGUCACUCUCGCCAAGCUAUCGUUAACAAUCAAAUGUGUGCGAAGGAAACUCCGACAGAACUUAAAUUACAUGAACGCUAGCUAGCCAGCAAGCAACUAGCUAGCCAGCAAGUUAAAAAAAAGUUAUCCAUAUGGCUAAUUAACAUAUAACAAUAGAAUGACCUACCGGUCUGUACUCCACGUCAGGGGAAAUGGUGUGUUUGAUCUGUCUUUCUGAAAUAAAUUGUUAAAAGAGAUUACUGACACGGAUUAUCAACUCGACGACCGCACUGCGUAAAGCAUGAGGUCAGAUACAGCGGGAGAAACUCAAGAGUACGGAACCAAAGAGGGGAAAUCUUUGAAGAGCAAUGUGAGCUCAAAAAGUGUACAUUAUAUUGUCCUGCAUGACAUGAAGUUGGCUAUGAAACACUAAAGAACAAAACAGCCAUAAAGAUAAUGUUGCUGUAUGAAGAGUUCCCGGUCUGUGUAAUGUCACCAUCAACUGAACAUACAAAACCCUCUGCCAGUCAAACGUGGACUGCCAUCUGGAAAGAUGCCUUCCAAGUUACCAUCCUCAGUGAGCUGUCUGCAAUUCUAGCAGACAUGCUCUCUCUGGCUUUACUCAGGAGCUAAUGAAUCUUGAACAGCUUCCUUUUCUCACCUCCACAGUCUUAAUCUUUUAUCCUGUUCAAGAGUUAUACAUUUGUCUAUUGACAUAGUGUUCUAAUUUUAUUCAAUGUAUGGUAAUUGAUUGUAUUCAUCAUACUAAAUCUAUUAGAAUGAGGGUGUGUGUAAUUCUUAGUGUCCUUUUCGAGUCUCAAAGAAUUCGAUUUAAAUAUGUUUAUGUGAUUUUGAAGGUGUGGGAGUAAAGAGGAGUUAUGGGUUGUAGAAAUGCACAUAAGAGAUGGGAACAAAGAGGGUGUACAGAAGGAUGUUGUGUGGAGAGAUCCCCCAAGGGUGUAUAGAUACAUAUGAUGUUGCUUGAAAUUUAGUUGUAGUCUUGUCUCUGCUUAUAAUGAGAAGAGAAACAAAAUAAAAACUUUAGGACUGGUAGACUUGUGCCAGCAGUAUUAUGAGAAUAGGCUACUAUCAGUAUCAUGUGUGAAGGUUGUUGGGAAAUGUUGAAAGGAAUUAUAAUUUGAUUUAAAAUUUGAGAUAUUAAAUACACCUUGUGUUAAGGGAAAUGUGAAUACUGACAAUACAAGGGACCUUUUGGUAAAG